GAAUUGUGGCCGCCAGAGGUGUCCGUCGUCGAGACUCCCUGCUCCGAAGUUGACCUGGAACGGCACGUCAGAGAGGGUGAGAGCCCCGUGCGCGGAGCAGGGCGUCGCGGCUUUGGUCGCCUUCGCAGAGUCGGGUUGUUUGGGACUGCAGCCCAAAGUGGGUGGUAAACUCCAUCUAAAACUAAAUACUGGCACGAGACCGAUAGCGAACAAGUACCGUGAGGGAAAGGUGAAAAGCACUUUGAAAAGAGAGUCCAAGAGACCGCGAAACCGUUGGGAGGGAAGCGAAUGCGAGCGCGACGGCUCCGUGCGGGUUCAGGGAGGCGACGUGCCCCGGUCGCGGGCGCCUAAGGGCAAACGUGGUCGAGGCUAGUCUCCGUUCCGCUCUCCCGCGCUGGAGCUCCCAGCGUCGCUGGCGUCCACCGCCGUCGGCUUCGAGGAAGGUGACCGUGGCUCGCCCUCGGGCGUCUACGGAGCUUACAGCCGAUGUCGGCGCGAGUGGAGGCGAGCGUGGUGAACGCGACGCUUCGCGUGGCAGUGCGGGCCUCUCCCCUCGUGGGAGCGGGCCGGGUCUCUUCUGGGCGGGCGGGCCAGCCGGCGAGGGACUGCUCGACAGUGCCACGUU
rnacentral:rRNA from 1 species